AUGAGUUAUACCUCAUGAGCUGGCUCAGUUCGAUUUUUCAUGAGCAUGAUCUUUGUUUUUUACACUCAUUUAAUAAAUGAGCUUAAUGAUCGAGUUUAAAUUAGAUCACGAGUUAUAUGAAAGAUUUUUAAUGAUCAUAAGCUAAAUCAUGACCUUGGUCGCUUUUAUACUUAAUGUAUAUAUAUAUACAUACAUAUAUAUAGAUGACUUCUAUUUUUCUUAUGUAAGAAAAUAUAGUUCUUAUAUUAAUUGUAUUUAUCUUCUAAAAUUAAAAUGUAAAACCAAAAAGUUAUAAUUAUUUUCAAAAAUGUUAAAGAAUAUUGAUAUCAAUCCUCGUAUCAUAUAUCUUUAAAAUUAAAAACUAAAACAAAAUAUUCCUAAGAUUCUCAUCCAGAAUAUAUAUAUUUUUAUAAUCUGAAUAGAUGAAGACUUUGAACAUGAAUCAUCUCAAAACUCUUAUGUGAAAUAGAUUUUCGGAUCACUGAUUUAACUUUUUAAUUUAUUAUUAGGUGCUAUAUUUAUUCAAUAUUUAAUAUUAAUGUUUUGGAUUAAUUUUAAAUUAUAUUAUGAAAAUUAUUUUGCUUUAUAAUUUAUUUUAUAAUUAUUUUUAUACUUUAUCGCGAGUUAUCUCAUUUAGUUCAUAAUCUAGAUGAUUUGAGUUCGACUUUACAUAUUGAAGCUCAUAUAAUAAAUGAGAUAAGCCAAGCUGGGCUGAGCUGGGCUAGCUCAUGAAAUAUCCGAGUUCACUGUAAGUUGAGCGAGUUAGCUCAUUUUGACACCCCUAGAUACAAUGUAGUUCUUGAAACGAUGUUGUUAGUCCUCGUUCUAGUGCUUGAUAUGACAUCGUUCAAACUUAAAUCUAGUUUUUCAUACGAUCUGCACUUUGAUACGAUGUCGUUUGAUUUAAUUCUUGAUACGAUGUGUUCGCAUACAAACAAAACAUGUUUCCUUGCAGAAUGAGACAUUCUCAAACUAACUAAUCUUAUGAAAGUUACAAAAUUCCCUAGUAUCUGAUGGUGUGAUGUGUUGGUCUCGAAUUAUCUCACAAUUAAUAUGUUUGCUUAUAGUCAAAAUAACUACAACUAGCCAUUUCAAAGUAGAUUUUAAGUUUAACAUUUCUUACAUUAAAGGUCAUACCAAAAGUAGUCUGCAAACUUUCUCAACACUGGUCGAGUUUAAACAUUUCUCCACAAAAAAAAACCACACGAUGACACAAGUCUGAAAAUAAACCAACCAUGAACCAAUUCCCAAAAGUAUUUCAUCCUGGAUCCAAAAGAUAGAAUUCACACAUCUUGAUCCCUUCUCCUUUUUUAUCCCAGUACACCAACAUCUUUCUCUUCCGACGAACUCCAUUUGGCAGUAUUGCAUAUAGUUCUCGAUCCAACCCUUCAUCAUCAGGCACUUGCCAUGUUUGCUGGUCCGAAUCUCUAUGCACUUCAUUCCAUACUCGGUCCUUUUAAUCCAUUGGAUCAAAUGAGUCCAACAUGAACCGUUCAAACUCAGCUUGAACAAACACCACAAGCAGCACACUGUCCAAAACAAAUACUCAAGAAUCACUAUUAGUCUAUAAAAAACUAAGUCAAUAAUUGUAUUGCAUGAAUUAAGGAAAGAAUCAUUACUGUUCAAAAUCUAUCAAGAUUUUAAUAGCAGGCCUCACAACUGAGGGUGUCAUCGGUGAAUCAUUCUUCUUAGAUUCUUAGGCCACACAUGAUAAUCACCAAUUGGGAGUCUCACAUAUGAACUCUGCGUAAGCCAACUUUUGAUGUUAUAUUUUGUCAUUAAUACAUCCCUUCAAGUGAUUCUUUGGCAAUUUUUGAGCAGUAUUUGGGCAAUAAUCUAUGGACACAUUUUAUGGGAUAAUAAAUGGGUUGGAUGGGGUAGAAUUAGGUCUAUGAAUCUAUGACAUCUUCAGCAAUAAACUUGAGUGUAUCAUAUCAGAUAUGUCUAAGUUUUUUUAGCUAAAAAAAAAAAUAAGUUUUUUUUAGCUUUUUAACUCCAUGUAAGAUAAUCAGAAUCUGAGAAUCUAACAUAUCUACUCCACAUAAAACGAGACAUAUGAAAUUUGGUAGAAUUGUUACAAAUGUCAUCAAUGUGGUUUCAACAACCUCUUCCAAAACAAUUUCAUCUAGAUUAUAAUUAUUGUAUUAAAAAAAUCAGCUUUUUGUAAUGUGAAAUUUUCUUAUUUGUGAAACUGCACUUUGUGAAUAAUCUAUAUUAUAAUUAUAAUAGGAUAGUUUUUGUUCUCUCCUAAGCUUGUCUACAUCAGCAGUAAUUUUUUGUGUGGGUCCCACAACUUCUCAGUAUUGUCAACGAGUUUGGUCUUUCAUGAGUUUUUUAUUGGGCUCAAUAUUGGGUUAUUGUUCUAAUUCUCUAUGGGCCUAUAUGCCACCAAACCGGGUAGUUAGGAUUAUUAUUUGGGAAGUUACGACCAACACUCCUCGCCACCUAUGUUCUCUUCGAUUCAUCUUCCCGACGAUGAGGAAUCUGAAAGAUUUCACUGAAUCAUGCUUAAUCCAAGCAUCGUCUUUAAUGCAAUCAUGCAUCCCCCCCCCCCCCCCUUUUAUUCUCUUUCUCUGAAUCUUCGAGUAUAAAAAGUGAUUUAAAGACUGGCUCCACUGUUCGCCUCCCUCUUGCCACAAUCAUUGAAUCCCUCUUUCGUAAGAUCUUUGUCUAUCAGUUCAUUAUAAUCCAGAUAUUUAUAAAAAAAUUGUCAUUCACUCAUGAUCCUAUUUAGUUUUCUGGCGUGAGAAACUCUGCAUAUUUGAGUUGUUUAAUAGAUUCUCGCUAAUAGCCUCGUCAUUGGAAUAAUUGCAGAUUUGGGUUGUCUUCUUUCUAUUAAUAGAUACGUGUGGUGUGUAAAUAAGGUGAUUCAAAUGAGAUGAAUAAUGGAUCGCUGAGUUUGGUCCGAACUCUAUAUUUCUUUCCUCAUGUUUUUAUGCUAUUUUUUAACAGUAGCACUAGAGUAUGAGAUGGGUGAUGCUCAUAUGGCUAUUUAAGCCACGAGUGAGGAAACUUUCUUUUAUGUAGUAUAAAAUAUUAGUUUCAAGAACUCAGCUUUAAUAAACGUCUGUUGAUUAAAGCGGGCUGAACUAUGUGUCUUUCAGUUACAUUGAAGCAGAGCAGCCUCAACUUCACACUGUCUGACUCUCCUCUAUCGAUGUUUACCGCUCGAUGUCUCUGCCGCUCAAGUCAAAUGCUUAUUCACCAAGCUCAUAGAGAAAGAGGUUUUUGUUCCUAUUUGCUUUGUGAUCUACUAAGAGAUUCGUGUCUAAAUCCUAAAAAUAUUAUUGAAUUUGUGCCGUGUCUGAGAGUCAUCAAGUGAAACUAAAAUCUUACAAAGCAAUGGACACAUGUGGUCGGAAAUUGAAACUGUUGGAAGUAGUGAACAUUUUGAUAAUUGGUUUACUUUAUAUAGUUUGGAUUUGAAUUUCAGUUUUUUUGAUUAAAAGCAGAGUAUUCAUUUAUUAAUAUGUAGUUUGAUUGGUCAGGGUGAUAAACAGUCAAAUAGGGCCACUUAACAUGUUGCACAACGACAUAGUAACGUUUAAUUUAUGAUAGCAUCCAUGCAAACUGUAAUGUUUCAUUUCUUCCAUGAGCAAGAGGAAAGGGCUUAUACUUCUUCCUCAUUAUGACAUUCUCGUAUAUUUGGCAUUCUCGUAUCUUUCUCUUUGAAAGUAAUUAGCGUUACUUUCUAAACCCCCUAUAGACUGUGUCAAUUGUUUAAUUUAAAUCCGGCAAAUACCAAAAGUAUGUAUUAAAUCCACUGAUGGGUUGUUGGAAAGACAUUUUAUUCAAAAUCCAAAUAAUUUUUUUUGUCGGCUACCCAUCUAAGCUAGAUCAAGUGGUGGUCAGACGAGCCGAUCCAAAUAAUUUGGCCGAACUAUAUCCAAAUUAGCUGAAAUCUGUUUACUUGAUGGACCAUGACUGAUGGAUGUAAUCCAUCUCCAACAUUUAGUCUAACAUCUUGCACUGCCAUCAUUUUAGAAUACUGGGGUUUAAUUUUGCCUCUUUCACAGUUUUGAAUAUUUUCAGGUGAUUUGUGAAACUGCAGAUGCUUGGUAUGAUGAGCUAAUUAAGGACAUAUAAGGUGUAAAGAAAGGCCAAGAAAUGAGCUUGGAGAUUAAGAGGAGUUGUAGCUGCAGAUAUAACUUGGUAGGCCGCUAAGGAAGAAGAGAAGAAUAGGUGGUAGCAGUUUCAAGACCACUACAACUGCUACUCAUCAUAGUGGGAGCACCUGAUGAAGGUAACCACUACUACGAGCUCGCUUCAAGGUCUCAAGGGUGAAGAACAAACUCUAUGUGGAGGUUUACACAGGGGGAAAGACUGCUAAGAUAGACCACUCCAGGAAGCUUUCAAAACUGUAUCCAUCUGUUAUGGAUCCAAUCUAUUUUUUCAUGGAUAGCAUGGUUUCUCUUUUCUCUAUCUAUGAGUAUUUGUUCAGAGUUAAGUUUAUUAAAAAAAAAUUUAAAAGAUAUUUUUGUUCUGAUUA